rnacentral:rRNA from 1 species
CCUACGGGUGGCAGCAGUGGGGAAUAUUGGACAAUGGGGGGAACCCUGAUCCAGCCAUGCCGCGUGUGUGAAGAAGGCCCUCGGGUUGUAAAGCACUUUCAGUGAGGAAGAACGCCUGGUGGUUAAUACCCAUCAGGAAAGACAUCACUCACAGAAGAAGCACCGGCUAACUCCGUGCCAGCAGCCGCGGUAAUACGGAGGGUGCGAGCGUUAAUCGGAAUUACUGGGCGUAAGGCGCGCGUAGGUGGCUUGAUAAGCCGGUUGUGAAAGCCCCGGGCUCAACCUGGGAACGGCAUCCGGAACUGUCAAGCUAGAGUGCAGGAGAGGAAGGUAGAAUUCCCGGUGUAGCGGUGAAAUGCGUAGAGAUCGGGAGGAAUACCAGUGGCGAAGGCGGCCUUCUGGACUGACACUGACACUGAGGUGCGAAAGCGUGGGUAGCAAACAGGAUUAGAUACCCUGGUAGUC